ACCGCAGGCCAAAUGGUCGCUGUUUCGUAUGCAAAUGCGAAAUGGAGGAAAGUCCGGGCUUUAUAUGCCUGCCUGCCACGUGAAUUUUAUGCUAAAUGAAUUAGCAAAGGUUUACGUGGUGGGUAGGCACGUUUGUGUUGCUUUAUUGACUUAAGGCAAUGCAGGCGGGAUACCAUGCUGGGUAACUCCCAUGCUCGAUGUUAUUAUCAGGAAAUGUCGGGACGGAAAGUGCAACAGAAAGGAUGUACAGGGCGCUUGAGUCAUUAUUAUCAUGAUAAUGGCAAUGCUGCUGUAGUGAAAACAGGUAAACCCCAUGGAAAGCAAGAUCAAACACUCAGCGCUUUCUCUUUUUAAGAGAAAGGGAAGUGAUCCGCUUCUUUCUUAUGAAUGCUGAGGGGUAGAUCGCUAAAGGCUGUUGGUAACAACAGUAUCUAGAUAAAUGACCAUUCAGCUCGCAGAGAUGCGAGUCAGACAAAACCCGGCUUAUAGGCUUGCGUUUUCC
rnacentral:RNase_P_RNA from 1 species